AAGAGUAGCUUAAAACCAAAGCAUCUGACCUACAAUCAGAAAAUAUUAUAAAUAAUCUCUUUGA
rnacentral:tRNA from 1 species